rnacentral:rRNA from 1 species
UACAGAGGUCUCAAGCGUUGUUCGGAUUCAUUGGGCGUAAAGGGUGCGUAGGCGGCGCGGUAAGUCGGGUGUGAAAUCUCUGAGCUUAACUCCGAAACUGCAUUCGAUACUGCCGUGCUUGAGGACUGGAGAGGAGACUGGAAUUUACGGUGUAGCGGUGAAAUGCGUAGAUAUCGUAAGGAAGACCAGUGGCGAAGGCGGGUCUCUGGACAGUUCCUGACGCUGAGGCACGAAGGCCAGGGGAGCAAACGGG